CAGAGGCUGGAGGUGUUAUAUGUGUUGUUAUAUAUGCGUUUAUUAUUUACUGUGAAUGUCCGACGCUCCUCUACCGGUUUUUUCCAGAAAACAUGGUCCCCCAGGAGAAUUUCAAAAUGGGCCUCCAGCUGCAACGGACAACGCAUUGAUUUUGAAAGGUUGUUAAUGGACAUAAAAGAUUUGAAACCAUUUUAUUCUAAUCAAAAUGGUGGUGACGGACAUACCUGACUGAACACACUCUCCUUGGUGGAGUUCUCUGCACAGAGGAGAGGUUCCGCGGAGGAGCACAACAUGGACAGGCUGAUUUCUCUCUCGUCGGCCUCUGAGGAACAAAACAGAGACGUGUAAAAAAAAGUUUCUUAAUUCAGCCGCCAACUGGAGCGAGAUGCCACACACAGACAGCAACUUUCCAUAUUUCUUGUUUGAGCCUCGUCUACAUGUGGCUGAGGUCGAUUCUUUACCUGGCAGUGGUUCCGGGCCUCGUUCCAGGUCAUACUUCCGGGCGGGACGAAGAACUCAGGCUGGGCCUUGACGUAGAUCAUCAUCAUCAUCAUCAGUGCUGCACAGAGAUGUACAAACAGUGGAGAUGAGUUCAAGACCCCCAACAUGCACAGUAAAGUUUAAUCUGUGCACAUUUUCGGGUUCAAGCAAUCAUGUUAUUUUCUAUAAUCCAUUAAAAUCACUUCUACAAUCAACACACCAACAGAACAUCAUUAUAUUCUUGAUAUGCAACUCCAUCACACGAUCUUGACUGAACUACAGGUGGUUAGUAUCGAUAGCUGCAGCAAAUUUCUGCAGCCUUAAAAUAAUAAAACAGGUCAAAAUAUUCUCUAUUAAUUCAAAUUGUAAGUUUAAAAGGAUAAAAACACAACACAAAAACAAACCGCCAGGAUCGUUGUGAACCAUAUAUGGUUGUGACUUUGAAGCCUCCAGGUUCUCACUGUGGUAACUCACUCUGUGAA